rnacentral:rRNA from 1 species
GAUGAACGCUGGCGGCGUGCCUAAUACAUGCAAGUAGAGCGAAGGGACGAGAAGCUGGCUUCUCUGAUGUUAGCGGCGGACGGGUGAGUAACACAUGGAUAACCUACCUAUAAGACUGGGAUAACUUCGGGAAACCGGAGCUAAUACCGGAUAAUAUGUUGAACCGCAUGGUUCAAAAGUGAAAGACGGUCUUGCUGUCACUUAUAGAUGGAUCCGCGCUGCAUUAGCUAGUUGGUAAGGUAACGGCUUACCAAGGCAACGAUGCAUAGCCGACCUGAGAGGGUGAUCGGCCACACUGGAACUGAGCCACGGUCCAGCCUCCUACGGGAGGAAGCAGUAGGGAAUCUUCCGCAAUGGGCGAAAGCCUGCCGGAGCAACGCCGGUUGGUUGAUGAAGUUCUUCGGACCUUAAAACUUUUUUAUUAGGGAAGAACAUAUGUGUAAGUAACUGUGCACACCUUGACGGUACCUAAUCAGAAAGCCACGGCUAACUACGUG